rnacentral:rRNA from 2 species
AUUAGAUGAGCCUAUAUUAGAUUAGCUAGUUGGUGGGGUAAUAGCCUACCAAGGUAAUGAUCUAUAGCUGAUCUGAGAGGAUGAUCAGCCACACUGGAACUGAGAUACGGUCCAGACUCCUACGGGAGGCAGCAGUGGGGAAUAUUGGACAAUGGGCGAAAGCCUGAUCCAGCCAUGCCGCAUGAGUGAAGAAGGCCUUUGGGUUGUAAAGCUCUUUUAGUGAGGAAGAUAAUGACGGUACUCACAGAAGAAGUCCUGGCUAACUCCGUGCCAGCAGCCGCGGUAAUACGGAGAGGGCUAGCGUUAUUCGGAAUUAUUGGGCGUAAAGGGCGCGUAGGCUGGUUAAUAAGUUAAAAGUGAAAUCCCGAGGCUUAACCUUGGAAUUGCUUUUAAAACUAUUAAUCUAGAGAUUGAAAGAGGAUAGAGGAAUUCCUGAUGUAGAGGUAAAAUUCGUAAAUAUUAGGAGGAACACCAGUGGCGAAGGCGUCUAUCUGGUUCAAAUCUGACGCUGAAGCGCGAAGGCGUGGGGAGCAAACAGGAUUAGAUACCCUGGUAGUCCACGCUGUAAACGAUGAAUGUUAAAUAUGGGGAG